CCUCUCCCUCUUUCCCCUCCUCUUCCCCUUUCUUUCUUUCCGUUCCUCUUCCACUCUGCCACUUUAUCUCUCCCGGUAGCUCUCCCUCCACCACUCUCUCCCUCUCUCCUUGGCAGAUCUUCCCCCGCGCUGCCCAGGGACGCAGACCUCGUUUUGCGGAGGUGGGAAACCAGUGGAACUGAGUGCUUAAAACUCUGAAAGAGGCUUCUGCAAGGGCCCACAAUUCUGCUUGCUGGCUUUAAAGGAACUCCCUAGAAAGGCAAGCUCAGGCGCGGGAGGAGCUGCUCAGGGCAGGACCACUCCCUUGGUAGCAAAGGGCCCUCCCAGCAAAAGAGAGGGGAGGGUGGGGUGGAGGUAGUUGUGACAGCCUGCGUGCUGGGCUGAGGGGCCAGCAUGCUUGCUCCUGUCCUCAAAAAAAAGUACUUCUUAUGCUUUAACAGGCAAAGAUCCUGAGGGUGAGGAUGUUACAGAUAGCUGGAAACCCAUUUCAAUGUCUCUCGUACUCCGACUGCUCCAGGUGGAAGGUCUGUUAAUAGAGAAGCCACUCCUGUGUUUGCUGCGCGUCAGUGUUGGGGGAGGGGAGCGGUCACAGGACAACUCCUGGGAGUCAUCUCUCUCCUUUCCAGGGCCCAAAUUAAGUUCUUUAGGCUUGGUGGCAAACACAUGACCUGCUCCCCACUUGAGGUCUCAAAUAUGUUUUUCUUGUUCUGUCUUGUUUUUCUCAAGUAGAACAAUCUCGGAGCUAUCUAGUGCACAAAACCAUUUUUUUUAAAAAAGAUACCGACAGAAAAAACAUAGAGAAAAGAAAAAAAAAAUGAGGAAGGGAUGGAGAGAUGGCUCAGCAAUUAAGAGCCUGGACUGCUCUUUCAGGGAACUCCAAGAAGUUCCCAGCACCCAUAGCUGGUGGUUCUGUGACACCUACAUUUAACUCCAGCUCCAGGGGAUCCGAUGCCCUCUUCUGGACUCCACAGGCGCCUACACUCAAACAUGUUCAUUCACACAUAACUAAAAUAAAUAAAUUAAUUAAAUUAAAAAAAAAAACUUUAAAAAAAGUAACUUGAAAAAUCCAUCUGGAAGGGGUGUCAACAUGGAAUCCCAGGAUAUAGAAGGCUAAAACCGGAAAAAUGCUGCAAGUGAGACACCAGCCCGGGACACAUUGGGGCUACGGGGAGGAAGGAAAAGUGCAACCCCCAUCUCCAGUGCACAAGUGUCAUUACCCAACAGUUGUUUAUUGUGUGUGGUAAAUUACACUAUUUGCUGAGCUUCCUUUAAGAACAGUUUCGGAGCUGGGAAGCCCUGCUGGUGAAACACACCCACAAUGAACAAAGCCCGUCCAUUAUUAAUGAUUGCCUGAUCGUACACCACAGAAUGUGGCAUUUGGAAAACCACGCUCACUUCACUGGCAGUUUGUACAGAAGAAUUCUCAGUCUGUUCAGCAGAUUCAAAUGAUGCUGGAGUAAAAUAAAUGUCAACUCUUGCUCAGCUUAUAUGGUGACUAUUUAGGUGUCAUUUGACUCUCACAAAUAAUAAGAAACUGAUCCCAUCUCAAUUAUCUCGGUGCUCCAGCUUACAGUGUGUUUAUAGCCUUGAGUACUUGGAUAAUUGCCCCAAAAUGCCACUGUGUUUUGUACGUAGAGAUAAAGCAAUAAAAUAUGCCAAGAGGAGACGAAUGAAAUAAGUAGAUUCAUGGGGGCAGUGGGAAAUACGGCUUAAGUUGUAGAUUUCUUUUUAUGGGAAACAGCCUACUGCAGUCCCAGCUGGGUACUCACAAAGCAUUAGGCAUAAAUGAACAGGAGGGGGUGUGACCAGACAGCCAGCUCCUCGCUGUCACUUGUCCAGAACUGUGCCACUGCCCAGGAGCAUGUGUUGGGCAGAUAGUCAGUGGCAGUACCACCAUCUGUCUAAUAAUUAAGAAAACAGGAGAAGCAACGCCUUGGCGGAAGACAAAUGAGCCCCCUAGUAUGCGCACACACUUACCAUGAGUUUCCCAACUACCCAUGAUUCAUAAGCCAGAACUAGUGAAAAACCUGCUGCCUCUUAACAUGGGAAAAGCAUAUUAAAUCAAGAAGCUGGGCAUAUGUUGUUAAGCGUGGGGUUGGGGGAGCAGAGUGGAGGAUGAAAAAAAUAUUUCCAUUUUCUCUGUCUUCAACCCACACCCAUCUUAGUUUGGGGGAAAAAUAAUGACAUAUGAUCAUCAAAACAGAGCUCUUACAAGAUUGAGAGUGGACAUUGUUUGAAAGCUGACAUAGAUGGACUGGUGAGAUCUCAGCAGGUAAAGACACUUGCUGUGCAAAGCCCCAAUGACUAGAACCACAUAAAGAGGAAAAGAGAAACCCAACUCUACAGAGUUGUUUCUGAUUGCCACACAUGCACAUGGCAGAUGAAUGCAUAUACACAUGCAAAUCUCUUUCACAUACAAUAAUAAUUACUACUACUAAUAAAGUGUUGUAGUUAAACACAUUGUCACCAACAGUAGCAAAACAUCACUGGCUGUCUGUGUUGAUGGCAUCUUGUGGCUGGUCAAUAGUGUAAAAGAAACAAUGUCCUGGCACCUGGCCUUCUCCCUACUUUUAACAAAAAUCACAAUCAGAAAGUUAUCUGCCCCACCAAAAGAAUAGAAGGUCCAUUUCUUUUCUGCCUAUUACCAUCCAGAAACCCAAGGAAAGUGAAAAAACCAGCCAGAUGCUCUUGUUUGAGACAGACAGACAGCUGCAGGGACAGACAGGAUGAAGUAAAAGAAGUCGAAAAGCAAUUAUCAAAACAGUGAGUUAAAUGACACAGGCUACAGUAUAUCCAACAGGUUUGAAGCAGCCAGAUAUGAACACUGCCCUUUGAGGCAGGCAGUGACCAGUCCUGAUUCAGGAAAGUGAACACAGCCAAUGGACAAGAUAAAAGGUUAUCCACAUAUAGAUAAUAGAAGAAAAUGUCAGAAAGCCCUCCACUCACCCAGGUCCAACCAGUGUGCUUUGAUUAGUUCUUUGUGAAAAGCCUUUGCACUUUGCCAAAUAUAGUUAAACUUAAGGGUAUUCUGCUGUAGUGUCUCAAUAGUUUUCACUCCUCAAUAUGGCUUCAUUUGUUCUGUCCUAUCUCACUGACCUCCAUGCAUUUCAAUGAGUUAACGAUAAGUGCCUAAAAUAAAGUGCCUUAGUGUCCAGCCCCCUUCCUCACCACUCUUCCACCUACAGUACUCACUCUCUCCUCCAUCUUCUCUCAUCCCUAGAAAGAACAACAUCUACCCAGCUGCCAGAGUCCACAAAGGAGUCACUGCCCUUGCCUCUUCUUUGAUUAGCUUACAACACUUUCGAUCUAUUAACAAAAGCACUUGCUUCCAUGUCUAAAAGAUAACCUGAAUCAACCAAUCUCUCUCUCUCUCUUUCUCUCUCUCUCCCUCUCUCCCUCUCUGCAUCAAUUUACAGCAACCAAACAAAAGUUCAUCAUCAUCUCUGGCUCAGACAGUUGCAGUAAAUAACUGGUCUUGCCUUCCUUCUUAUAGUUCAUUUUCUAUGGAACAGAAUAAUAGUUCAAAUAUAUGAAUUGAAUGAUGGUGCCUCUCCUGCUUAAAACCAUGCACGAUUCUUCACUGCACUGCAGACUCCAAAAGCCCCUAGAUAAGCUACAAAGUCCUCCAAGAUCUUCCCAGCAGCUCUCUGACCUCUUCCUGUUUUAGCAGUCCUAUUGCGCUUCUGCUGCCCCAACUGUUUCAAUGCUCUCCAUUCACAAAGUGGACUCCAUGCUGCCCACCAGUCUAGACAGUAACUGCAAAGGGUUACCACAGAGGAGCAGAAAGGCUAAAUGUUAAUUAUUUAAAAUGUAAUAGAUUUGUUGACUGGUGGCUCCAGGUGUUGCUUUUAACAAAAUCUCAAUCAUUCCAUUUUACCAAUAAAGACUCUGGUACCAGAGUGGAGUGAAAGCCUGAUAGCUCAGAGAGGCAGAGAAAGCAACCAGCUGACCUUCCUCCUCAGUAAACGACUCCCCUUCUCCAUGUCUUCUCAAAACCCCUCAAACUCAAUAUCCCUCCCUUCUAUUUCCUGUGUGUCUCUCUAUGUGUCUUCCUGACUUCCUCUUACUCUCUAUAGUUUUUCUCUAUGUUCAUUCCCUGCCAUCUGGUUGCUUGCUUCAUCUCUUGACCUAUGGUCGACUUUAUUUAAUCUUAUCUUGGAUUAAAGGUGUGUGCUAGGGUUGAGCCACACCACAGCCAGAAAAACGGCUUUUUUCAGCAAAUAAUGUAAUCUCAAGGUUCACAGUAUGAUCAGAUAUCUUGAUAUCAGAUAUCUGAUAUCUUCAUCCAAACAUGAAAACUAUGUGCUUCAUAUCUCCAGCCAUGCUUCUAGUCUUCCAUACCUACUAAAAUGACAGGGAUUUGGUAGCUAAAGGUUUUCCCAUGCUGGCUCCUUCUGCAUCAGUUCUGGCUUCAAGCAUUAUUUUUUUAUUCUCUAAGAAAGGUUGGUUCUAGAGAGCUGUGACAAUCUGGCAAAAGCAACUAAAGGGAGAAGGAUUUUUAUAAAAGCAACUUUUAUUUGCCUGAUUUGUCAUCUCCGAGGGUUACUGCCUCUGUCUGCUAACCUAGGCCUAACCUAGCCUGGAAACUUCUAGACUCCAUACAAUCUAAUCUAGGCCUAGAAAUUUUUCAGUUGCUAAGACUCUUACUGCAGAAUAAAUUUACCCUUUUUAAUUCUGUCUGAACUCUGACUGGCUGGUUCAACUCAGCUGUUCUGGUUCAAGCUCCUCUUCAAGCUGACUGAUUGAAACUGGCUUCUCUUGGCUUCUGGCUGAAUUACUCUGCUUGGCCUCAUACUAACUUUGGCAAUCUGUUCUAAUCUGUCACCUUCUCAUUCCCUGGUUCAUCUGUCUUCACCAGUAUCUAGCUUGUUCUCUCUUCAACCUGUCUCUGUAAAACUCUCCACAUAAAAAUGCCUCUGACUUCCACAAACUGAACUGCCACAAAUUCAGUUCCACUGCACGGCCUCUCAACUCACUGACUCAACUGUACUACCUGAACAGAACUGACUAGAACUCAGAGCUCUGCAAGCCUUGGUCUCCUAGGUGCUGGGAUUAAAGGUGUGUAUCACUAGGCCUAGACCAAUGCUUUUCUUUACUGGAAAUUUGCUCUAUACUAGCCUGGCCUAGAACUCAGAGAUCUGCUUGCCUCUGUCUCCUGGGACUAAAGGUAUACCUGUAUUCCAGCCAGAUCAUACAGACCUAGAAGGUCUUUGGAUGUGAUCUCUUUCCACAGCAGCCAUGUUCUGAAUUAAAAUCCCUCCUCUACGGAAGUUUAUUUUGACUCACUGUUUGAGGUGGUGCAGUUUGUCAUGAUGGGAAAAACAUGUCUACAAGAAGGGCUCAAGCUGUGAUGAAAAAAGUGUGAGAUGGAUGGUGAUGAGAUGGAUGCCAUAAUCAUGACCUGGGAAGAUGAGUGCAGAUGCUCAACUGGCUUUUCCCUUUUAUAUUUCGGCUGGGAACCCACGCCAUGGGAUGGUACCACGCACAUGCUGAGUGGAUUUUUCCUUCUCAGAACCUCUUGGCGGUAUCCUCACAGACACACACAGAGUUUACCCUCCUAAGUGAUUCCAGAUCCAGUCAUGUUGACAGAGAAUAUGGCCAUAAUACUUUUCAAAAAGACAUCAGGGUAUCCCAUGUGCAUGCAUAUUAGCCAUUUAGUAUUGCACUGUUUUGUUAUAUUCGUACUGAUUGUCUCUCUAUAAAAUGGUUUUCUUCAUUUACCUGCUUUCUUGUUUAUUGUUUGCUCUUGGUUACUAGAGUAUAGGGAGACUUUGCUCUGAACCUCCAAAUACCAGACAAGCAAAUGGCACACAGUAAAAACUCACUUAAUAUUCAACACACAAGUGUUUGAUGAAUAAAAGCACAGUGGAAUUACAGGAGAAAAAGAAACUCAAAUGUACCAUGUUGAAAGGUCCCAUGUUAAAGACCAUCCAUGGGUGUUUACACAUUUACAUAUAUACAUGUUUAAGCUAAUUGUUUGCAUGGGCAGAUGCCUCUCAAUUUUUCCUUGAAAAUUCUGUUCUGAUGAGUAUACUCAUGGGUAAAAUCACGCAAACAGCACUUCCCAUAAAGCGGCUUUAAAAAUAUGUAUUGCUCUCCUAAAUUACUCAUCUCUUAGAGAAAUAAACAUUGGCCAAAGUUUUAAAAACUUAUAUAUGGACUACCCAUAGUCUUUUUUAUUAUAGGCAUGGGGAUGGGUGAAUAAAAUAUACUUGCUACCUUUGGGUAGCAAGUAAACUGGGAAAUUCAGAAAUAGAUUUUUGAAUAUAAAUGACUGUAAAGCCUUAUUUCACAUUGUUUUCUGCUGUUGUGGGAACUGAAUUUAACAGACAUAACUGUUUUGUUAAGAUAGGUCUUACUAAUACUUCCAAAUACAGUGAGGAAAAACCAGAGAAUGCUUGCAUCUGGGGAUUCACUACUGGCUUUCCAGGCAGAGCUGUCCCUCCAGUUUCCAAACAAUGUAAGUAAUGAUUUUGUGUAUGCAGCUAUUAAUAAGCUCAAAACCCUCAAGCAGGAAAGCAAGCUGUGAAGAGCUAGCACGGACCUAGUCAGGGUUACAGGCAACUACAUCCAACCACGGGCACACCACUGGACACUGCCUCUUCUGUACCCUGGAAAACAACCUGUGGGCUGAAGCUCUUAUGAACUGUAAAGGACGCUAGUACAAUGGUCUCAGAGCUCCCCAAUCUUGACCACUUUGUGGCACAUGCAGAAUAUUAUAAUAAUUUUAAGUGAAUUUGACCUUAUGAUUUUAUUGUCGUCCUGUCAAAGUUGUCUUAGACACGUGACCCUUCUCUUCUUCUUGCCUCCCAGUUCAAAUUGUUUCUAUCUCUUAACAGCAAGUCUCAUAAAGCUGCAGGAAAGCUCAGAAGUCUCAUCAAUAAUGCCAAUAACCUCAGUAUCUCUUUCCUCUGGAUUUGCAUGUAUUGUAAUUCUCAAAAAGAACUGAAGUCUUGUGUAAUAAUAUAAAUAAAUAAUAUGCAGGUUGUUAGCGUCUCCAAAGUAAUGGUAAAUUGUUUGGUUUUGUGAACAGCUUGAUUUUAACUUAUUCUUGUCCUAACUAAUAGGAAAAAAAAGAUAAUAAAACAUAAGUGUUGGUAAGAGC